rnacentral:rRNA from 1 species
CCGGAGCUAAUACCGGAUAACAUUUCGAACCGCAUGGUUCGAAAUUGAAAGAUGGUUUCGGCUAUCACUUACAGAUGGACCCGCGGCGCAUUAGCUAGUUGGUGAGGUAACGGCUCACCAAGGCAACGAUGCGUAGCCGACCUGAGAGGGUGAUCGGCCACACUGGGACUGAGACACGGCCCAGACUCCUACGGGAGGCAGCAGUAGGGAAUCUUCCGCAAUGGACGAAAGUCUGACGGAGCAACGCCGCGUGAACGAUGAAGGCCUUCGGGUCGUAAAGUUCUGUUGUUAGGGAAGAACAAGUACCAGAGUAACUGCUGGUACCUUGACGGUACCUAACCAGAAAGCCACGGCUAACUACGUGCCAGCAGCCGCGGUAAUACGUAGGUGGCAAGCGUUGUCCGGAAUUAUUGGGCGUAAAGCGCGCGCAGGCGGUUUCUUAAGUCUGAUGUGAAAGCCCACGGCUCAACCGUGGAGGGUCAUUGGAAACUGGGGAACUUGAGUGCAGAAGAGGAGAGUGGAAUUCCACGUGUAGCGGUGAAAUGCGUAGAGAUGUGGAGGAACACCAGUGGCGAAGGCGACUCUCUGGUCUGUAACUGACGCUGAGGCGCGAAAGC